AACGUACGCUGGCGGCACGCCUAACACAUGCAAGUCGAACGAAGUAGCAAUACUUAGUGGCAGACGGGUGAGUAACAUGUAGGUAUCUGCCCUUUGGCCUGGAAUAACACGAGGAAACUUGUGCUAAUACCGGAUAAGUCUUUACGGAGAAAGCUUUAUGCACCAUUGGAUGAGCCUGCACUUGAUUAGUUUGUUGGUGGGGUAAUGGCCUACCAAGACUGUGAUCAAUAGCUGAUUUGAGAGGAUGAUCAGCCACAUUGGGACUGAGACACGGCCCAAACUCCUACGGGAGGCAGCAGUGGGGAAUCUUGCACAAUGGAGGAAACUCUGAUGCGGCGAUGCCGCGUGAGUGAAGAAGGCCCUUGGGUUGUAAAGCUCUUUCGUCGGGGAAGAAAAUGACUGUACCCGAAUAAGAAGGUCCGGCUAACUUCGUGCCAGCAGCCGCGGUAAUACGAAGGGACCUAGCGUAGUUCGGAAUUACUGGGCUUAAAGAGUUCGUAGGUGGUUGAAAAAGUUAGUGGUGAAAUCCCAGAGCUUAACUCUGGAACUGCCAUUAAAACUUUUCAGCUAGAGUAUGAUAGAGGAAAGCAGAAUUUCUAGUGUAGAGGUGAAAUUCGUAGAUAUUAGAAAGAAUACCAAUUGCGAAGGCAGCUUUCUGGAUCAUUACUGACACUGAGGAACGAAAGCAUGGGUAGCGAAGAGGAUUAGAUACCCUCGUAGUCCAUGCCGUAAACGAUGUGUGUUAGACGUUGGAAAUUUAUUUUCAGUGUCGCAGGGAAACCGAUAAACACACCGCCUGGGGAGUACGACCGCAAGGUUAAAACUCAAAUGAAUUGACGGGGACCCGCACAAGUAGUGGAGCAUGUGGUUUAAUUCGAAGAUACGCGCAGAACCUUACCAACACUUGACAUGUUCGUCGCGACUCUAAGAGAUUAGAGUUUUCGGUUCGGCCGGACGAAACACAGGUGCUGCAUGGCUGUCGUCAGCUCGUGUCGUGAGAUGUUGGGUUAAGUCCCGCAACGAGCGCAACCCUCACUUUUAGUUGCCAUCAUUAAGUUGGGCACUCUGAAAGAACUGCCAGUGAUAAGCUGGAGGAAGGUGGGGAUGACGUCAAGUCCUCAUGGCCCUUACGUGUUGGGCUACACACGUGCUACAAUGGUAUCUACAACAGGAAGCAAGACUGCGAAGUUAAGCAAAUCCCUAAAAGAUACCUCAGUUCGGAUUGCACUCUGCAACUCGAGUGCAUGAAGCUGGAAUUACUAGUAAUCGUGGAUCAGCGUGCCACGGUGAAUGCGUUCCCGGGUCU
rnacentral:rRNA from 1 species